UACGGAGGGUGCAAGCGUUGUUCGGAAUUAUUGGGCGUAAAGGGCAGGUAGGUGGUCUUGAAAGUCUACUGUGAAAUCCCCAGGCUUAACUUGGGAAGUGCGGUGGAUACUUCAAGACUAGAGUGCUGGAGGGGUGCGUGAAAUUCCCGGUGUAGCGGUGAAAUGCGUAGAUAUCAGGAGGAACACCGGUGGCGAAGGCGGGUCUCUGGGCCGUAACUGACGCUGAGGAGCGAAAGCGUGGGGAGCAAACAGG
rnacentral:rRNA from 1 species